AGAAAACAAUUGUAGUGUACUUUAACAAAGGCCUCCAUAAUAAUAUUGCAAAACCACAAACAAAUGUCCUUAGUCAUUGUUUGUUGGGCCACUACAUGAAUGUCACCAAUCAGGUUCUUACGAGGUAGGCAGAAAACACGAAAGGAAGGGAGGAGUGUUGGUUGAUUUCAAAAGCUAUAUGACUACAGGGCUCCGGCUAGAGAGCAACACCUGUGGAGUUUCACACUUGAAUUCACAUACCCAGAGCGACCAUGAAGUUUACUAUCCUGAUCUGCGUUUCUGUUCUCAUUUACCUCUCUGCGGCAGAGCCCAGAGAGGCCAAAUGUACAGAGUCCGAUAAUAAUGGCAUGUGUUCUCGGGAGUACGAUCCAGUGUGUGGAGAUGAUGGCAAAACAUACUCAAAUGAGUGCAUGCUAUGCUGGGAGAACAGUCAGAAUAACCAGAAUGUCAAAGUAAUGUACAAAGGAGAAUGUAACACCUCCUGAACUCACUGCUGUUACAGCAUCCAGAAUGGGUUUCCAGAUGGAAUACUAUAUUAAAAACCAGCUGAGCAGGAUGCUCUGUCAUAGAUUUGCCAGUUAAACACUUUAUACGCUAUUGAAACUUUACGAAACAAUGCCUUGUCAUGUAACGUAAUGCAAUAAAAUAAAACAAUCAAGCAUU